GACGAACGCUUGCGGCGUGCUUAACACAUGCAAGUCGAACGGAAAGGCCCUGCUUUUGUGGGGUGCUCGAGUGGCGAACGGGUGGGUAACACGUGAGUAACCUGCCCUUGACUUUGGGAUAACUUCAGGAAACUGGGGCUAAUACCGGAUAGGAGCUCCUGCUGCAUGGUGGGGGUUGGAAAGUUUCGGCGGUUGGGGAUGGACUCGCGGCUUAUCAGCUUGUUGGUGGGGUAGUGGCUUACCAAGGCUUUGACGGGUAGCCGGCCUGAGAGGGUGACCGGCCACAUUGGGACUGAGAUACGGCCCAGACUCCUACGGGAGGCAGCAGUGGGGAAUAUUGCACAAUGGGCGGAAGCCUGAUGCAGCAACGCCGCGUGCGGGAUGACGGCCUUCGGGUUGUAAACCGCUUUCGCCUGUGACGAAGCGUGAGUGACGGUAAUGGGUAAAGAAGCACCGGCUAACUACGUGCCAGCAGCCGCGGUGAUACGUAGGGUGCGAGCGUUGUCCGGAUUUAUUGGGCGUAAAGGGCUCGUAGGUGGUUGAUCGCGUCGGAAGUGUAAUCUUGGGGCUUAACCCUGAGCGUGCUUUCGAUACGGGUUGACUUGAGGAAGGUAGGGGAGAAUGGAAUUCCUGGUGGAGCGGUGGAAUGCGCAGAUAUCAGGAGGAACACCAGUGGCGAAGGCGGUUUUCUGGGCCUUUCCUGACGCUGAGGAGCGAAAGCGUGGGGAGCGAACAGGCUUAGAUACCCUGGUAGUCCACGCUGUAAACGGUGGGUACUAGGUGUGGGGUCCAUUCCACGGGUUCCGUGCCGUAGCUAACGCUUUAAGUACCCCGCCUGGGGAGUACGGCCGCAAGGCUAAAACUCAAAUGAAUUGACGGGGCCCCGCACAAGCGGCGGAGCAUGCGGAUUAAUUCGAUGCAACGCGUAGAACCUUACCUGGGUUUGACAUGGAUCGGGAGUGCUCAGAGAUGGGUGUGCCUCUUUUGGGGUCGGUUCACAGGUGGUGCAUGGCUGUCGUCAGCUCGUGUCGUGAGAUGUUGGGUUAAGUCCCGCAACGAGCGCAACCCUUGUUCACUGUUGCCAGCACGUUAUGGUGGGGACUCAGUGGAGACCGCCGGGGUCAACUCGGAGGAAGGUGGGGAUGACGUCAAGUCAUCAUGCCCCUUAUGUCCAGGGCUUCACGCAUGCUACAAUGGCUGGUACAGAGAGUGGCGAGCCUGUGAGGGUGAGCGAAUCUCGGAAAGCCGGUCUCAGUUCGGAUUGGGGUCUGCAACUCGACCUCAUGAAGUCGGAGCCGCUAGUAAUCGCAGAUCAGCAACGCUGCGGUGAAUACGUUCCCGGGGCU
rnacentral:rRNA from 1 species